AUUGAACGCUGGCGGCAGGCCUAACACAUGCAAGUCGAGCGGCAGCGGGACCUUCGGGUUGCCGGCGAGCGGCGGACGGGUGAGUAAUGCCUAGGAAUCUGCCUGUUAGUGGGGGAUAACGCGGGGAAACUCGCGCUAAUACCGCAUACGUCCUACGGGAGAAAGCGGGGGCUCUUCGGACCUCGCGCUAACAGAUGAGCCUAGGUCGGAUUAGCUAGUUGGUGGGGUAAUGGCCCACCAAGGCGACGAUCCGUAACUGGUCUGAGAGGAUGAGCAGUCACACUGGAACUGAGACACGGUCCAGACUCCUACGGGAGGCAGCAGUGGGGAAUAUUGGACAAUGGGCGAAAGCCUGAUCCAGCCAUGCCGCGUGUGUGAAGAAGGUCUUCGGAUUGUAAAGCACUUUAAGUCGGGAGGAAGGGCUGUAGGCUAAUACCUUGCAGUUUUGACGUUACCGACAGAAUAAGCACCGGCUAACUUCGUGCCAGCAGCCGCAGUAAGAC
rnacentral:rRNA from 1 species